ACACAGGUGGUCUGGUAGAGCAUACCGAGGCGAGCGGGAGAACCGUGGUCAAGGAACUCGGCAAACUGUCCCCGUAACUUCGGAAGAAGGGGAGCCACGGCUGGUGAACACCCCUGCGGUGGGAGCUGGUGGUGGCCGCAGAGAGUGGGCCCGAGCGACUGUUUACUAAAAACACAGGUCCGUGCGAAGUCGCAAGACGAGGUAUACGGACUGACGCCUGCCCGGUGCCGGAACGUUAACAGGACUCGUUACCCACCUGGUGGGGAAGCGGGAAAUGGAAGCGCCGGUAAACGGCGGUGGUAACUAUAACCAUCCUAAGGUAGCGAAAUUCCUUGUCGGGUAAGUUCCGACCUGCACGAAUGGCGUAACGACUUGGGCGCUGUCUCGACCACGGACCCGACGAAAUUGCACGACGAGUUAAGAUGCUCGUUUCGCGCGGCAGGACGGAAAGACCCCGGGACCUUUACUGCAGCUUGGCAUGGGUGUCUGGUUCGGCUUGUGUAGGAUAGGUGGGAGACGCAGAAGCGGACACGCCAGUGUUCGUGGAGUCGCUGGUGAAAUACCACUCUGGUCGUUGCGGGCGUCUAACCUCGGUCCGUGAUCCGGACCAGGGACAGUGCCUGGUGGGCAGUUUAACUGGGGCGGUUGCCUCCCAAACGGUAACGGAGGCGCCCAACGGUCUCCUCAGCCUGGUUGGAAACCAGGUGUUCGAGUGCAAGGGCACAAGGAGGCUUGACUGUGAGACUGACGGGUCGAGCAGGUGCGAAAGCAGGGCCUAGUGAUCCGGCACUGGCUGGUGGAAGCGGUGUCGCUCAACGGAUAAAAGGUACCCCGGGGAUAACAGGCUUAUCCUGCCCAAGAGUCCAUAUCGACGGCAGGGUUUGGCACCUCGAUGUCGGCUCGUCGCAUCCUGGGGCUGUAGUCGGUCCCAAGGGUUGGGCUGUUCGCCCAUUAAAGCGGCACGCGAGCUGGGUUUAGAACGUCGUGAGACAGUUCGGUCCCUAUCCGCCGCGCGCGCACGGAGACCUGAGAAGGGCUGUCCCUAGUACGAGAGGACCGGGACGGACGAACCUCUGGUGUGCCAGUUGUCCCGCCAGGGGCACGGCUGGUUGGCUACGUUCGGCACAGAUAACCGCUGAAAGCAUCUAAGCGGGAAGCUGGCUUCGAGAUGAGGUCUCCC
rnacentral:rRNA from 1 species